AGUGAACGCUGGCGGUAGGCCUAACACAUGCAAGUCGAACGGCAGCACAGUAAGAGCUUGCUCUUACGGGUGGCGAGUGGCGGACGGGUGAGGAAUACAUCGGAAUCUACUUUUUCGUGGGGGAUAACGUAGGGAAACUUACGCUAAUACCGCAUACGACCUACGGGUGAAAGCAGGGGAUCUUCGGACCUUGCGCGAUUGAAUGAGCCGAUGUCGGAUUAGCUAGUUGGCGGGGUAAAGGCCCACCAAGGCGACGAUCCGUAGCUGGUCUGAGAGGAUGAUCAGCCACACUGGAAUUGAGACACGGUCCAGACUCCUACGGGAGGCAGCAGUGGGGAAUAUUGGACAAUGGGCGCAAGCCUGAUCCAGCCAUACCGCGUGGGUGAAGAAGGCCUUCGGGUUGUAAAGCCCUUUUGUUGGGAAAGAAAAGCAGCAGGUUAAUACCCCGCUGUUCUGACGGUACCCAAAGAAUAAGCACCGGCUAACUUCGCG
rnacentral:rRNA from 1 species